rnacentral:rRNA from 1 species
UACAGAGGGUGCAAGCGUUGUUCGGAAUUAUUGGGCGUAAAGCGCGUGUAGGCGGCGUGACAAGUCGGGUGUGAAAGCCCUCAGCUCAACUGAGGAAGUGCGCCCGAAACUGUCGUGCUUGAGUGCCGGAGAGGGUGGCGGAAUUCCCCAAGUAGAGGUGAAAUUCGUAGAUAUGGGGAGGAACACCGGUGGCGAAGGCGGGAUCCUGGGCCAGUACUGACGCUGAGGAGCGAAAAGCGUGGGGAGCAAACAGG